CAGUAGCCGCGGUAAUACGUAGGGUGCGAGCGUUAAUCGGAAUUACUGGGCGUAAAGCGUGCGCAGGCGGCUUUGCAGGACAGAUGUGAAAUCCCCGGGCUCAACCUGGGAACUGCAUUUGUGACUGCGAGGCUAGAGUGCGGCAGAGGGAGAUGGAAUUCCGCGUGUAGCAGUGAAAUGCGUAGAUAUGCGGAGGAACACCGAUGGCGAAGGCAAUCUCCUGGGCCUGCACUGACGCUCAUGCACGAAAGCGUGGGGAGCAAACAGGAUUAGAUACCCCUGUAGUCCCUGUCUCUUAUAC
rnacentral:rRNA from 1 species